UACACAUUACAUGAAACACGAAAAAGAACACUCGAUCAAACCAUACAGAGUAGUUUUUUUUUUUUUUUUCAGAACAUAAAAAAAAAAAAAAAAACUUGGUUUAGUGUUUGGCAGCAUACUGGUUGAUGAGAGAGAGGGCAUUGCUGGUGACCUGAGCAACAUUCACCAUUCUGCCCCUGAUGGCGUUCUUGAUCUUGCCGCUGAGCGCCUUUCCGGCGAAGCCGUCGCCGCACGUGCUCUCGUCGGUGAGCGCAGAGCUCACCCACGUCUCCACGUUGCUGAUGUGCCAGGCGAAGUCCUGACCGUUCCCCUUGCAGAGCUUCAGCUCCUUCAACGACCGAGAGAGGCGGUCGACGCUGUCGCUGAUUUCCUCCGCGCAGUCUUUGAGGGCGGCGUACUCCCGUGGCUUGAGACCCCUGAACUUGUUGCACUUGGCCACGAAGGUUUUGGUAGACUCGGUUCGGUUGAGGGCCAGGGAGAGAGCCGUCUGGACGAGCUGGUGUGGGUCCUGCUGGAUGGCGGCGGCGUACACCGAGAGCGACUCCACGCAGAGGGCGGGGUACUGGGUGGCGCUGCAGGAGGAUUUUAUGAAGUUGGUGGGGUUGGAGGCAGCGAAGCAACUCUGGAGGGUGCAGAGAACAAGGAGAAGAAGAAUCUCAAAGUUGGCCAUUUUUGGUUUGAGAGUUGAGAGUAAAGGGAAAGUUGGAUCUGAAUAUAUAGAGAAGAGAAGAAGAGACUAACAGUCACAAACAGCACAACCUCGUGUCCGUGUUUAUCUUUCUACCCCUGUUUUCGUGUGGGGUAUGGUUAACACAAAUCUAGGGAAUUUUAGCUUUUUUCUGUUUUUAUUAACAAUAAUAAAUGGCUAAUGAUGAAAAUAUGAGUGUGAUGAAGUGGGAGUGGCAGAGGAAGAGACCAAUGUCCACUCUGUUUGGUAACUUCGCAUGUGGGACUCUGUCUUUGUUUUUUAAAGUUUACUUGCUCCUACCGACAUUGUGAACACACUCUGUUACAAAUUCACGUUCACACGGGACUCUCUGUUUUUUUUUCUCUUUUUCUUUUUUGUUUAAGAAAAAUGAUAUUUUAACACUAUUUUUUAACAUUAUUUUGAUAUUGUACACGUGUCAAAAUGUAAUUGGACGAUUUCAAAUUAAAAAAGUUGAAACAGGAGUAUGUUUGAAAGAAAAAAACCAAAGUUUGUUUUUUUAAUUUGAAAUCGUCCAACCACAUUUUGACACGUAUGCAGUGUCAAUAUUAAAAUUUUAUUUUCCUUUAUCUAAUAACGUCAAGUGCCUUGCUGUUAAAAAUUAGAGAUUAAGGUUUUGGUAAAGUAAAGAGUCUUUUGUUUGUAGUUAUGAGAAAUGUACAAGUGUUACGAGGAAUGAUGUUUAUUAUUUACCUGAAUGGUUUUUUAACGAACAAAUGGUCGACAUUAUUUUAAAGUAGCUUUCACACACGCCGCCGUUCUGGCGCUAACUGCACCCAUGUGACACACUAACCCUUUCAUUACUACAACUUGGACUCAUCGAUAUGCGUGCCUGCGUAUCUUAUCUUCUUUAUUUUUAUUAUUAUUUUCUUAUCAUGUUCAAAUCAAAGAAAAUUUCAUUUUUUUUUCAGAUCUUGAUUUUAUUAAUUUUUUUAAUCAUAUUCAAUAAUCUCACAUUUUAAAAAUUAAACUUUUUAUUUAAAUACUUUCUUUUCUUCUCACUUUUCGAAUAACAAGUUUUAAGUUUUAACACAAUAAUAUUUAAGAUAUUUUAAGUUUUAAUCUAGAUAAUAUUUUAAACAUAUCAUGAUUAACUUUAAUAACAUCAUUGACAAAUUUAAGAUUAGAAUUAUAUAAUAUGAUCAUCCAAUCAACUUUGAACCGAGCAAUCAACAAAUUUUUCAUAUGAAUCGGUUGAUAAACUGGUCGAUCAAAUUAUAAAUAGAGUUAACAUAAAGAAUAAUUACAUCAAUUCUAAAUAAGAUUAUUACUGUUUGGGUCGUAAUUAGACAAAUACUAAUUAGAAACUUACUCCAGAAUUUAUAUAUAUAUAUGUUAAAUAUUUAUAUAAUUGAUUACUUUUUCUACACAUUUAUUACUAACAAAUUUGAAUUAACAUUAAUUUUAAUAUCAAAGUAUUUUUUUUCAGAUAAUACUAAACUUUAAUCUAAACUUGAAAACUGAAGACGCUUUGUAGAAACAUACAUAACUUUAACUACAUAAUAACUACCAUGGUAGAAUUAAUAAUGGAAAUAUUUGAUUUCUUAAAUUUUUUUUGUACAAAAUCAUAAUAAAUAAACUUUUAAAACAAAUAAAACUUGGAUUGAUGUUAAUCAUAUCAUUUAAUACAUUUACAAUUAAAACAAAUAAUACUUUAAAUAUACAAAAGAUUGAUCUUAACCAUAUCAUUAAACACGUUUAUAAAGUAUAUAAAGAUUCAUCUUAAUAAUAUCAUUAAAUACAUUUACAAUCAAAACAGCAAUUAAUAUGGUGUGAGAUUUUAGUCAAUAUAUAACUGUUACAGAACUCAAGCUAAGUUUAAGAAAAUGACAAUGGGAUAUUUCCUUCAUUUUCGUAAAACGUGUUUAUGGAAACAACUCUUAAAGAGAAUGAAGUUUAGUCGUCUCGGACUGUUUUUACGUUAAAUAAGGUUACGUAUGGUAUAAGACACAUUAUAUUAAACAAAUGCAUUACCUUAAAACAACAUUAGAAUGUUAUGUCGUGUAAUUAUCAAGGUACUUCAAUUAGAGAUUACAAAAGAAACCAACUUAAUUAUUAUGAAAUUGCCUAUUAAAUAUAAGAGUAUGUUAAUUAUGUUAUAUAAUUUAAGUAGAUAAUUGAAAAUAAAAUAAGUUAUAAAAGCUGGACCAUGUAUUAUAUUUUGUUUUGUGUGAAACGUAUAUGUAAUUGAAUGAUGCAAUGAAAAGCAAAUAUGGGAAAGAAGAAAUGAAUUUGUGAAACGUCCAAAUAAUAUGGGAUGCAUGUGAAAUGUCCAAUUAAUAACUGUCCCUAAAAGUGUGGACACUCUCCCUUUUUUCUUUUCCGAUUCUAACAAUAUAUUCCCCACCACAGACCAAUUAUUCAUAAUAACUAAUAACUAUAUAUACAUAGAAAUGUAAAAAGAAAAAUGCGGAUACGAAUUUUUGCGAAUAAAAUUCACGGUGGAUACUUACUACCUCCGAUUAUUCGUAGAUAAUAGAUAGCGAGUAUUUUAAUAUCUGUUUUUAAACAGGUCGGAUGGGGAUAUUAAAUUAUCUCCUAUGGAUAUCCUCAUAAAAAAUAAUAAGAAAGAUAUUAAUUUUAUUUUUUAAAAUUAAAUUUCAUUAAAAAUAAAAUUAAUUUAUAUUUUAUUAAAUUAAACUUGAAUUUAUAUUUAAUUUAUUUUAUAUUAUAUUAUAUAUAUAUAUAUAUAUAUAUAUAUAUAUAUAUAUAUAUAUAUAUAGUGAAAGUUAUUUAAGAUUUUAUUGUGUUAUACUUAAAAUGUAUUUACAUUUACCAAAAUAUGAUAGCAAAAGUGUACUGUAAUGUUUAACCGUAAGAUUACAUAAUGUAUUUAUGAAUAUGAGAAAAUAUUGAAAUGAUGAAUAUGAUAAGAAUUAUAUAAAAAAAAAUAACAAAAUAUCAAACUAAACUAAACUAAACCUGAAAAAAAUAAUUUAAAAUUUAUUUUCAAUUAAAACUAAACUAAACCUGAAUUUAUUUCAGAUGUUUUUUAAUGAUGCUACAUUGAAUUGAAAGUGUGAGAUGUUGAUCAACUUUAGUGCUCACUGAAAUUUUCAAAGUAUAAUCAUUAUUUCAUUUAAUUUUCUAUAAUAAAUAUGUUAAAAGAAUACGAUCUAGCCAUUUAAAACUUAAAGAAAUGUAGAUAAAUUUUAUAUUGUAAAAUAAAAAGGUACAAUGUAGAUAUAAAUUCACAUUUAUCUAUAUCUACAUACAAAUGGAAUGUUCCUUUUUAGUGUCCAUCUUUGUUUUUCAAAUUUGUCCUUGAAAUAAUUUUUUUUUAAAAUAUUUAAAGCAUAACUUUAAAAUUAAAAUACACAAAUUUAAUUUAAUGUAGCUUCACCAAUAUUUACAAAUAUUCAACAACGAAAAACAUUAUUAUUUAAUAUACAAACCUUUCUAUACAAUUUUCCUAAUUAAGAAUGCAAAUUCUUUUGAAAAAGAAAUUGUAAAUCCUUUUAUAAUGUAUACCUAUCCAAUUCUUAUACUCCAAUAGGUCACACUUAUAUUUCAAUAGGCUUUGUGAUGAUAAUACUCAAACUAACAAAUUAACUUUUUUUUUAUGAAUAAUUUAUUAGAUUGUAUUUUCUUUCAAAUAUUUUGAGAGUUUGUUGAAUAUCAAUUUAAAAAUAAAUCUUAAAAGAAAUUGGUAAUAACUCAACAUGUUUACUAAAUAAUUUUGAAAGACCAAAGAAAGCUACCAUGGUUGGUAGCAAGAUAUUGAUAGUAUAAUGAAAAAGCUAGGUUAUAUAAUUUGUUUCGCUUUUUUGUUUUUUUGUCUUUAACAAACUCGAUGUUUUAAAUAGUUUUAAAAUUAAAUAAAAUAUUGAACCUGCAUCUUGAUGAUUUAAGCAAAAUCAAACUAAAAAAACAUUAACAAUAAAUAAUAGAAGCGAUUACAUAUAUAAUUUGAUUUCGGUUUAUAGUCUAUUUGGGUUGGUUAGAUUUGUCCCGUUCUUGUUUUAAAUAACUAAUUAGUACAGCAUGUGUACUUUUACUUAAAAUUUUAAAUAAGUAACUAAAAUAGAUAUAAAUUUUAAUAAAUACAUCAGUAAAAUAUAAAUAAUUCGAAGUUGAGAACAAAAGAACAAAUUUACAUAAGAUUCGUAUAAAAAAAUUGCAGCGUUAGCAAAGAAAAUUAUUUGGACCAAAAAUAACUAAAGAAAAUUGUUUGGAAACAUAAAGACAAAAGCUUAAAAAAAAAGACAAAAGAAAAUAUCAAUACUAAUAAUGUAUAUACCAUUGAGUAUAAUAAUCUAUUCUAUUAGAAAUUGAAUUAUAAUACCUCCUGUUGGAUUGAAUGGUUAAUAUUAGAUAUUUUUUUUUUACUUAAAAAGUGUAAUGAUUCAAAUAUUAUUAUUCAAUUUUAACGUGAUUUACUAAAUUUUUGAAAUAACUUAUAUACCUCUCAAUAUAUGUUAUUGUAUCGUAUGAUUCUUCGGUUUAUUUUUGUGUAUCAUAUGACCAUUCGACAUAUUAUUGAUUAUUCGCUUAACGUUUUUAAUCACUUCUAACUUGUGUACAUAAAUUGGAUGAAUUCUCGAUAGUCUAAUCGAUAUGACCAUGGUUAAGUACCAACAACAUAAAUCCAACACAUUAUAGGUAAAAGCUUUUUAUUAACUUUUUGACUGUGAUUAUGUCAGUUCUAAUUAAAAGUCUACUUAACAUAUAAAUACAAGGAUAAUGAUAUUUAGACAACAUUUUUUUACAACAUUUGAACAUUGAUUACAUGUCAAUCUGUGAUUGGUCCUAAAUUACUCCAUAAUGGUGUCUAUGAUUAUUAUUAUUGAUUGUGGAGUAAUUUUUGAUCAAUCACAGAUUAACACGUAAUCAAUGUUCAAAUGUUGUCAAGAAAAUGUUGUCUAAAUAUCAUUAUCCUAUAACUAAAAUAAUUUCAGAAAAAAAAAAACCUUAAAAAGAUAAAUUUAAAACAUAAUUUUGAGACUUUAUUUGGUAAAUCUAAUAAUUAUAUAUUACUUAAAAAGUUGAAGUUAAAUAUUUUUUUUUUCUAUUUUAAAACUUUUUUAGAGAUAAAAUUAUAAAAAAGUUUCAAAUUUUAAAACGUUCAAUCUUUUAAACACAAUGAUCGAUGUUAACAAUUUUGAUAACAUAACAAAAGUGAAAUUAUAAUGUAAUGUUUUAUCAGCACAACACUUAACCUAAAAAUCUUAGAAUAGCUUAAAAUUCAUACCUGUCCUCCACCAUAGUUUUUUAAUAGAAAAAACUUGAAAUUUUAUACCCAUAAUGCAAAUUGUACCAUAAAGAUGAAGAGAAAGUAGGUGAGUAGGUAAGAUUAUUUAGUGUGAUUGAACAAUUCAUCAUUUCAGACUAAGUUUCUUCUUUUUUCCUCUUCUUCUGCCGUAUUCAUUGCUCACAUUUUUAGACUUCCAUUUCAUUUUUUUCAUCCAUAAUUUACGCUUCAUCCAUAAUUAACAUUUACAAAUGACACAUUUACUAUAAUAUAAUAUUAAGACAAAUAAUAUACAUAAUUAAAAAAUUUCAAAUUUUUUAUUUUUUAUUUAUAUAGUAUCUUCUCAACUAUAAUUUUGCCUCCAAAAAUAAAUUAAAACCCUAAGUCAUAAAUCUAGAAUCUUCUCACUCUUAUACUUCAAACAAUCUUCUUUCUUUCUUCUGAAUUUUUUUAUAAUAAUUUUUUAUAAUAAUUUUUCACAAAUUCACAGCUAAUGUAAGCGGAACACUGAAUCCGAACGCCGUUCAUCCAUAAUCAACUGAGUUUUACGCGCUGAGAAAGCGUGUUACUUACCAACAUUUCCUUCUGUCCGUAAUUUCCUCUUAUUAAAUUAUUAUUAUUGUUCAAUAAAAUUACAACUAAAAUUGUUUAAAUAAUAAUUAUUAUUUUUUUUACAUUAAUGUGAGAAAACCAGAAAAACAGUAAUGUUCGAUCAAACUCAGUUUUGAUCUUACAAUGUUGUUCAAGCAAAGAAAAUUCAUAUAUCUAUUUAAACUUUUAAACUGACUCACUUGAUUUUACAUACACAUUACAUGAAACACGAAAAAGAACACUCGAUCAAACCAUACAGAGUAGUUUUUUUUUUUUUUUUCAGAACAUAAAAAAAAAAAAAAAAAACUUGGUUUAGUGUUUGGCAGCAUACUGGUUGAUGAGAGAGAGGGCAUUGCUGGUGACCUGAGCAACAUUCACCAUUCUGCCCCUGAUGGCGUUCUUGAUCUUGCCGCUGAGCGCCUUUCCGGCGAAGCCGUCGCCGCACGUGCUCUCGUCGGUGAGCGCAGAGCUCACCCACGUCUCCACGUUGCUGAUGUGCCAGGCGAAGUCCUGACCGUUCCCCUUGCAGAGCUUCAGCUCCUUCAACGACCGAGAGAGGCGGUCGACGCUGUCGCUGAUUUCCUCCGCGCAGUCUUUGAGGGCGGCGUACUCCCGUGGCUUGAGACCCCUGAACUUGUUGCACUUGGCCACGAAGGUUUUGGUAGACUCGGUUCGGUUGAGGGCCAGGGAGAGAGCCGUCUGGACGAGCUGGUGUGGGUCCUGCUGGAUGGCGGCGGCGUACACCGAGAGCGACUCCACGCAGAGGGCGGGGUACUGGGUGGCGCUGCAGGAGGAUUUUAUGAAGUUGGUGGGGUUGGAGGCAGCGAAGCAACUCUGGAGGGUGCAGAGAACAAGGAGAAGAAGAAUCUCAAAGUUGGCCAUUUUUGGUUUGAGAGUUGAGAGUAAAGGGAAAGUUGGAUCUGAAUAUAUAGAGAAGAGAAGAAGAGACUAACAGUCACAAACAGCACAACCUCGUGUCCGUGUUUAUCUUUCUACCCCUGUUUUCGUGUGGGGUAUGGUUAACACAAAUCUAGGGAAUUUUAGCUUUUUUCUGUUUUUAUUAACAAUAAUAAAUGGCUAAUGAUGAAAAUAUGAGUGUG
rnacentral:lncRNA from 1 species